UUUGCUUGGGGCUAAACAGCUUUCAGUUUGGAUUACUUAUUGUUUUUCAAAACGACAAGUAAUAAUUUAAACGGAGAAAUGUAUUCAGUGAACAAUUUAUUCGCGGAAUAGAAAAAUUAAAGGAUAACAUGCAAUGUGAAUUCAAAAUU
ensembl:ncRNA ZC504.7 ncRNA